AUUGAACGCUGGCGGCAUGCUUUACACAUGCAAGUCGAACGGAAGCGCGAGCUUCUGCCUGGCGGCGCGUGGCGAACGGGUGAGUAAUGCACCGGAACGUAACCUAUCGAGGGGGCUAGCCCGGCGAAAGGCAGCUUAAUACAGCACCCGAUCUGAGAUUGAACGCGGGGGACCGAAAGUGCUCGCGCUAUUUGAUCGCACGUAUAGGGAGAUCCGUGCCGCAUUAGCUAGUUGGUAGGGUAACGGCUUACCAAGGCGACGAUGCGUAGCCGACCUGAGAGGGUGACCAGCCACACUGGAACUGAGACACGGCCCAGACUCCUACGGGAGGCAGCAGUGGGGAAUUUUGGACAAUGGGGGCAACCCUGAUGCAGCCAUGCCGCGUGCGGGAAGAAGGCCUUCGGGUUGUAAACCGCUUUUGUUCGGGAAGAAAACCUGUGGACUUAUACCCCGGGGGGAUGACGGUACCGGAAGAGAAAGCACCGGCUAACUACGUG
rnacentral:rRNA from 1 species